ensembl:lncRNA
GGAAACCAGAAAAGACUGCUCCCUGCACACACAUCUCGGGCGCCAGAGGAAAAAGCCAAAGACCAUCUGGAACCCUGGUGCACUGAAGCUCCCGGAAGGGGCGGCACAGGUCUUCCUGGUUGCUGCCGCUGCAGAGAGCCCCUGGGCAGCACCCCACGAGCGAACCUGAGCCUCGGGACCACAGGUCUCUGAUGGACUAGAGGCGCCAGAGUUCUGCUCCCCUCCCCGGAGAGCGCUGGGUCUCAGGAGUGCUGGAGGUGUGCGAGAAUACCGAAGAUAAAGUCCAUAGAACUCAAAAAGGUCAACAAGCUGAGGGACGCAAGGGCCCUCAGUGGCACUUGGGAGGGAGAAGAAAGCAACCAUAAGGGGGCUGGAGAGAUGGCUCAGCGGUUAAGAGCACCCGACUACUCUUCCAGUGGUCCUGAGUUCAAUUCCCAGCAACCACAUGGUGGCUCACAACCAUCUGUAAGGAGAUCUGAUGCCCUCUUCUGGUCCAACUGUGCAAGGGUAGCACAUCCCACAGUGAUCUGGGACUUCCAACAUCAAUCAUCAGUCAAGAAAAUUCCCUACAGACCAAGCUGAAAGGAAGUGUUUUUUCUUAUUAUUGCUUUCAAACAUAUGAUUAAGUGAAAUAAAAUUAAAAAGAUAUUUUCCCUGUUUUCCCUCUUUCUUUCCGGAACUCCGAAUAAGUGCCGCCUCCCUUUAGCCCUCAAAUAUCAUUCUUCCUGAUAAUUGAGAGACUUUAUUCUUUUGGUUUAAUUAUUAUUCGUGUGUGUGUGUGUGUGUGUGUGUGUGUGUGUGUGUGUGUGUGUACACAUAUAUACUUACAACCUGCUUAGUUCAGUUAUGCUGUUUCUGUUUAUAUGAUUACAGGGCUGACCACUCUGCACUAGAUGACCAAUAAAGUUUCCUCUUUCCUGAGUCCCCCCACUAGACAAUGGAUCACAGGCCACUAAGGACUGCUGAGAAGGACAAAAAGUCCACAGAAGCAUGUGGUCAACCACUGAGGAUAUGCUCGUGACCACCUUCAACUUCAUGGAGCUACCAGCCUUUCAAAUAUUCAUUAUUACCACCCCUUGGAAGCAUCCCUCAGAGACCUGUGUGCUGAUUGCCUGGUCGUCAACGUAGUAUUGAGGUCAAGUCUUGAUAGGAUUCAAAGGGCUGUACCUUCAUCAAAGGAUUAGUCCAUUGAGAAUUCAGUACCAGAUAGACUCUGCAGGGAUGGAAAUGGAGAAGAGCCUGAAGAAAAGGUCCAGUGACAGGACCAAAGUGGGAUCCACCUCAAGGGGAGGCCUCAAGACCUGACACCAUUACUGAGGCUAUGGGGCAUUCACAAAAAGGGACCUAUCAUGGCUGCCCUCUGAAAGACCCAACACGCAGUUGAAAGAGUCAGAUAGAGAUAUGUGCACUCAAUCAAUGAACAGAAGAUGCUGAUCCCUCUGGUUGAAUAAGGGAAAAGCUGGAGGAAGCCAAGGAGGAGGAGGGCAACCCUGUAUGAGGACCAGCAGUCUCAAUUAACCUGGACCCCCGAGAUCUCUCAGACACUGGAUCACCAACUGGGCAGCACACACCAGCUGAGAUGAGGCCUCCAACACACAUCCAGCAGAGGACUCUUGGGUCUGGGUACACUCAGAGAAGAUGCUCCUAAGCCCUAAGCGACUGGAGGUCCCAGGAAGUUUAGAGGUCUGGUGGGGUGGGUGGGGUGAGGACAGCCUUGUGGGGAGGGUGACAGGAGGAGGUGUGCGAUGGGGAACAGUUAGAGAGUGGACGAGGGGAGGAAUAAAAUCUGAAGUGUAAAAAUAAAUAAAUAAAUACAGUUUAAAAGAGAAAGAGGGUCUAACUGAUGGAAGUAGAUCAUUGCUAUAUGCUAAUAAAAGGCAUAAAUUUUGGGUGCUCUCUGUUCCUCAGCUUGUAACAGGUAGGAACCUUUGCUUCACUGAAUUCUCUCUGCCAUGGGAAUCAGCCACAGCACAAGCCCUCAACAGAGUCAACUAACAUUGGAGAGAAAACUCUGUAAUCAUAAGUUGAAAUGAAUCUCUCCUUUUUUGAGUUUCUCAGUCAUUUUGCCAUGAUAAUAUAAAACUAACACAACUUGACCUUAAACUUUAUGAUGUAACAGAAUAAAUAGUUCAGGCCCUGGAUCUCUCUAAUAAACUUAAUAACUACUAUCCAGUUUCUGUCACAGUGGGUCAAAUAUGGAAACACAUUAUAUAUCUGUACAGGUUUAUAGCCUUU